rnacentral:rRNA from 1 species
GCAAACAGGAUUAGAUACCCUGGUAGUCCACGCCGUAAACGAUGUCGACUUGGAGGUUGUUCCCUUGAGGAGUGGCUUCCGGAGCUAACGCGUUAAGUCGACCGCCUGGGGAGUACGGCCGCAAGGUUAAAACUCAAAUGAAUUGACGGGGGCCCGCACAAGCGGUGGAGCAUGUGGUUUAAUUCGAUGCAACGCGAAGAACCUUACCUACUCUUGACAUCCAGAGAACUUAGCAGAGAUGCUUUGGUGCCUUCGGGAACUCUGAGACAGGUGCUGCAUGGCUGUCGUCAGCUCGUGUUGUGAAAUGUUGGGUUAAGUCCCGCAACGAGCGCAACCCUUAUCCUUUGUUGCCAGCGGUUAGGCCGGGAACUCAAAGGAGACUGCCAGUGAUAAACUGGAGGAAGGUGGGGAUGACGUCAAGUCAUCAUGGCCCUUACGAGUAGGGCUACACACGUGCUACAAUGGCGCAUACAAAGAGAAGCGACCUCGCGAGAGCAAGCGGACCUCAUAAAGUGCGUCGUAGUCCGGAUUGGAGUCUGCAACUCGACUCCAUGAAGUCGGAAUCGCUAGUAAUCGUAGAUCAGAAUGCUACGGUGAAUACGUUCCCGGGCCUUGUACACACCGCCCGUCACACCAUGGGAGUGGGUUGCAAAAGAAGUAGGUAGCUUAACCUUCGGGAGGGCGCUUACCACUUUGUGAUUCAUGACUGG